rnacentral:hammerhead_ribozyme from 1 species
UUACGCUGACGAGUCCCAAAUAGGACGAAAUGCGCAUCCUGUAU